rnacentral:lncRNA from 1 species
AUGUCCAUUUGGAUAGAAAACAGACAACAACUGCAAAUUUAAAUCCACCUCAUCAUCAUAGAGGCGUUUCCCUCAGUGCAUGAACUUCACAAGUGAAUUACUGUCAUCUCUCUUCAGGCAGAAAGAAAAAGCUUGCAUGCCAUAUUGUGGAGAGCUGCGUGUGCCGCGCCUUAAAGAUGGCGCUGGUUUCCGCCUUCCGCCAUCCCGACGGCGAGAGCUCUUUAUGAUAAACAACUCCUUAUUUGGCUGUGAUGUGUCUGAUGCUCUGCCCCCUCUUACGUGUACCUAUCCGCAUUCACCACAUGACUAUCCGUGAUUGGUUGGUUCAGGGGUACUUAUUCUAGGGACGGGUGCUCCCCAGGGGUAGAAGAAAAAGAAUGUUAAGUUUUCCUGAAUAAACUGCUAGAAGAAGAGCGUUGGUGUUGCGUCGUCAUUGCUGGUCAAAGGCGAACGCGACACCAUAUGGCCGUCUUCUGAGUCACCCAGACUCUGCUGUCGCCGCAGUGGCAGCCAGCAUCUCUCAGCAUCUCUGGGCUGUUUUCGCCACGCAGCAGAAAUAGAACAGAUCUGAGGGAAUACAGAGGGGUGGAAGGCCAGGAACUGGGAGAGAAGAAAGUAUGGACCAAUACCAUCACCACGGACAAAACUGAAGAUGUCAACCUAGAGGAGAAUGACAGUCUCCCGACUGUCUGCGAGAGGUGUGGCCAAGGGGAUGGUGCACUGGUUCUGGAGUCAGAUGGCCAAGCACAGACGUCGAGGCCUCCACUUACCACCGCCAGCCUCAGUCUCCUCCGCGGUCAGACAGACAUCAGAACACCCGCCACAGCGCGUUAUCUCAAGCACCAGAUAAGACACCUGUGUGAAAAGCACUGCGAGCAGCGGCUGGCGCAUACUUGGGCUCAAGUUUUACACAGAGGGGACGAUCAGGGCAGAAGGAGGAAAGGACAAACGACUUAGCAUGAAUCUUUGCUGGAACACUAAAUAUUUUCUUGUAUUUUGGCUAUAAAUUUAAAAUCCAUAAGAGACUAAAAUUUUUCUAAAGAUGCUUUUAUCUAUAUUGUAUUUAUGAUUAGUAGAACAUUUCCUUUUUCAGAGCAUAGCCAUUAGGGGGGAAAUGGCAUUGGAGAGCAUGGUGGGUGGGCUCUCCAGCUCUUUCCAAGGUGCCUUUCUGUGUGGCUGUGACCUCGGCAGCCUCUGAGGUCCCAGUUCUUGCACAGACUCGGUACUCUGUUGAAGCAAUCAAGCAGUCAGUGAGCCACCUUGUAUCAUUUUUCUUUUGCCGCCUUUCUCAUGAGAUUUCAAAGUGUAUUUUUUCCCACUUGGAAAUGUGGUGGAUUGCUCAUUCUUUUCAGAAGACUGUCCGUGGAGGCCCUCGGUUUAAUGGGCACUGAGGUAAGCACUGGGCAGCCAGCACUGAUCAGUCUGAAUCCUCUCCUCCGAGCUGGUGUGGUGGGAGGCGCCCACUUGGAGAGGAACGCACUUUGCAGUCACCGCUCCCUCAGUUCUACCGUGCAGGGCAGAACAUGAACCACUUAGUGUUUCUGCCUCUGCCUUCCUGAUGCCUCCAGCUG